AUUAUUGUUUGCCACAAGAACACAUUAAUAUGCACAUUAGAUGCAAUGUAUGGGAACACCAACUUAUGGACAUUUUACGCAGAUAUUGCAUAAAGUAAAAUAGUAUAUCAAAUCAUUCUGUUAUAUCUUUCCUAACAUAGUUGGGAAUCAUCUUUGUACAAAGUUUGGUUAAAAAUAGACUGAAACCUAAAAACUGAUUGGUGAAUGAAAAAAAGAAAACAUUAUUUUUGCCUAUAAUUUGCCUUUUAAUGUCUUUUUGUUGUUGUUUGUUGUUGUUGUUGUUUUUAAUACAUUUGUCCUGGUGUCCUCUACAAAGGGCAUAGAAUAAUAUAUGAAUAAAAUAUCCUUUUUCUAAUUUUUUUUCCUUCCAUUUGUUUCUUAUGCUCCAACCAAUGUAAUGACAUUUAAAAAAAAAAAUAACACAAAACUAUUUUUAUGGUUCUCAGGAGGAAAAUUAGUUUUCUGGAAUUUAUUUAGGGUUAGUUCAGCUGAACAGGUCCAGUUUUCCCAGUUAUCUUCAUAGAAAGAAAAAUUAAUCCCAAUUUACCAGAAUCAGAGGAUCACAGAGCUCGUGAGCCCAAGUGACACUCCAGCGCGUGGGAUGAAUCGCACUGACGUCACUCAGUGACUCAACCGCUCAUCCUUAGUAAAAGUAACGCGGCUGCGAGUAAAAGCAAUUCCUCUAGUCUCGGCUAAUCAGUAGUUAAGCUCUGAUGGAGGGUAGGCUACCUGUACUAGAUGACGUGGUUACAGGUGCAGAAAGGCUCUAUGGAGCAUUCUUAAAGGAAUUUAAACUGCGCAGUUCUUCCUCGUUAGCUCAUACACGCGAAAAGAUCGUUUUCAGCUCAUCCCACAGCUGUCCAGCAGCUGGGAUUUUUCCUUCAUCCCUGUUGUGGGAUGUAAAAUGAUGUCACUGAUGCUGAUGCAGCCAACAGAAAAGUGCCAUUGGUACCAGUUUGUGAAGAGCUUCUUCCUGAUUGAGCUCAGGAAGAUGAACAGCUGGGAGAACCAAUCAUCAUGGAGAAGAGGUGGUCUUUUAACUCUAUCCCCUGACCAAUAAUCAUGGCUUCAUCAGGGUAAAAAUAUGAUGACACUGACUGAGCAUCAUAUUUCAUGUGUGUAGCGGUUCCCAAGCAGAGCUUGAUCACAUUUUUGGAUUUUCAUCUAGUUUUUAUAUAAUUUAUGAUUUAUGAUGCUGACACGAAUUGUUAGAAUCAUUUAACUCAUUUUAUAUAAGUAAAAUAUGGUGCAAGAAAUUGAUUAUUAUGUAAUAUGGAUUAUUUUUGCAUUGUCCCAUCCAAUUAAAAGCACAUCUCUAAUUUGAUGUUGUUAGUGAUCUGAACAAUCCUAUAACCUGUGUUAAAGUUUAUGUUGUGCUAUGGACAUGGAUGACACUACCUUAAAUUGUGCUGUAUAUUAAUGAGAGGUGUGCGUAGAUGUAUGAUUGUCAAUUAUUUUUAAAUAAUACAAGCAAAUAAUAUCCCAUUGACAUACAAUAAAAAAGAGACUUGACCCAUAAAAGGUACUACUACUACUACUACUACUACUAUAUCUAGAGACAAGAAUUACCUGUAAGACCCUAGAAAUAAUCCAGCAUAGCCUAGCAACUCCCUGUAAUAUAGGGGCGUCAACCUUUGCACAUGCAUAAUCUAGCUGGAAUUAUAAUUCAGAGACACAGAUAUGAGGCAUACCACACCACCACUCAAAACUAGAUGCAUCUUUUAUGGCUCUGUAGCACCAGAGGAAUUCCAAUAAGCUAUUUCACGCAUCACUGAAGACAAGUCUGUCUUAAGUAUGUCCUUAUGCUACCGCAAACACAUAAACAGUAUUGAUUUAUGACAUCUGGUUUUUCUCUUUGCAUGGAGUCAGCGGUCACAUGUGGUUCAUGGAUGUCAGAGCUCCAUGUUUGACUGACUCAAGUGUAUAGUUCUGUUACCAUGGUGAGCAUGGAAUCCAGCUCAACCAGACAGAGCAUCUGAUUGGCUGG
rnacentral:lncRNA from 1 species